rnacentral:rRNA from 1 species
UACGUAGGGUGCGAGCGUUGUCCGGAAUUAUUGGGCGUAAAGGGCUCGUAGGCGGUUUGUCGCGUCGGGAGUGAAAACACCGGGCUUAACUCGGUGCUUGCUUUCGAUACGGGCAGACUAGAGGCAUGCAGGGGAGAACGGAAUUCCUGGUGUAGCGGUGAAAUGCGCAGAUAUCAGGAGGAACACCGGUGGCGAAGGCGGUUCUCUGGGCAUUACCUGACGCUGAGGAGCGAAAGUGUGGGGAGCGAACAGG